AGGAGUGGAGCCUGCGGCUUAAUUUGACUCAACACGGGAAACCUCACCAGGCCCGGACACCGGAAGGAUUGACAGAUUGAGAGCUCUUUCUUGAUUCGGUGGGUGGUGGUGCAUGGCCGUUCUUAGUUGGUGGAGCGAUUUGUCUGGUUAAUUCCGAUAACGAACGAGACUCUAGCCUGCUAAAUAGGCGUCUUUUCGACAUCUUAAAGUCCCGACGGCCCGGUGGCGGCCCGGUCGCUCGCGGUUCUUACUGUCGGCGUACACAUUAAUCUUCUUAGAGGGACAGGCGGCUUCUAGCCGCACGAGACUGAGCAAUAACAGGUCUGUGAUGCCCUUAGAUGUUCUGGGCCG
rnacentral:rRNA from 1 species